ACGAACGCUGGCGGCGUGCCUAACACAUGCAAGCGAGCGAUGAAGCCCUCGGGGCUGAUUAGCGGCGGACGGGUGAGUAACACGUGGGUAACCUGCCUCAGUAGAGGGGGGAUAGCCUCCCGAAAGGGAGAUUAAUACCGCAUAAUGUAUUUUGGCCACAUGGCUGAAAUAUCAAAGGAGUAAUCCGCUAUGAGAUGGACCCGCGGCGCAUUAGCUAGUUGGUGAGGUAACGGCUCACCAAGGCGACGAUGCGUAGCCGACCUGAGAGGGUGAUCGGCCACAUUGGAACUGAGACACGGUCCAGACUCCUACGGGAGGCAGCAGUGGGGAAUAUUGCGCAAUGGGGGAAACCCUGACGCAAGCAACGCCGCGUGAAUGAUGAAGGCCUUAGGGUUGUAAAGUUCUGUCUUCUGGGACGAUAAUGACGGUACCAGAGGAGGAAGCCACGGCUAACUACGUGCCAGCAGCCGC
rnacentral:rRNA from 1 species